AAGAUGAACCCAUUUAUUCAACAUUGAUUAUUUUAACAAAUUCAGAGGGACCUUAACAUAAAAUUAAGGUUAUAGUGAACUUGUAACCAUCCGUCUCUACUUGGUACAGCCCCAGUUCAUGUGACGGUGCUCUGGUGAGUGUGGGACCUCGUUGUUGGCGUGCCAGAGGAGGAGAGAGGAGGCAAAUGGAGAUGUGUAUCCUGUGUCACAAAGCGCAGGAGAUCCUACCUGAUGGCACCGCCAUGGUGCUCGCUGCCUUUGUCCAACGCUCUACGGUCAUGUCCGAGAACCGCAAAAGACCCCCUCACAAUCCAGGUAAGGUUAUGGUUUACAGUGUGCAAGUCAAGUAAUUGGAUAGGUUUGAGUAGCCAGUGUGCUUAUUUCUGGAGGAUACAUGUGUGUUCCAGAGAGCUAUGAUCCCCUCUUCAUGCACCCUGACCUGUCCUUUGGUACCCAUACCGGCAGCUGUGGCCACAUCAUGCACUCUCACUGCUGGCAGAGAUACUUUGAGACACUCCAGAGUCAGGAUGCGCAGUGGCUGCAUGAGCAAACCAGUUGCGAUGUAGUGAAUGGGGAGUACUUGUGUCCACUCUAUGCUGGUGAGACAGAGACUGUGGAGGACUCUCCUCCUCCUGAGAGUUUCAGGCUGGACCACACACCAGUCACCCCUUAUUCAAGCUCCAUAAGGGAGAUGCUGAUGACAUUUGGGACCGCAACUUAUAAAGUUGGCCUUAAGGUGCACCCUAAUGAGCAGAACCCCCGUGUGCCCAUCAUGUGCUGGGGCAGCUGUUCUUGCACCAUCCAGUCUAUAGAGAGAUUAUUGGUAGAUGAGGAGAAGCCUUGUUUGGAAGUUUACCCUGUAGACAGGUAUGACAACCCAACUUAUUGUCAUAUCUCAGCCCAGCCAGGACUCGGUUUCCCGAGAAGCAACACCCACUUCUAACAUGGCCGCUGAGGACUACACUUCCCACACACGCAUGCGCUCACCUCCCCGGAGUUCUGAUCUCACACACCUGCAGCCAAUCACCUUGUCCACUCUCCACGGCUUAUUAAGAGACUUUGGUUCAGAGACACUUUGUGAAGUAAAUGUUCAGCAGACUAGUUUCUCUGUCGUUCUCCAAGCGUUACCUACCGUGUUUAUUCGAUAAGUGACUUUGGCCUCUGUCUUGCCCCGUUUGUUUUGUUUGCAUGAUCGCCUGACCCUCGCUUGCUUCUUGACUACGGACUGUGUUCACCCCUCUGGAUUAUUCUGCCUGAACCUGCCGCCCGCUUCUGCUUCUGUAUUCCUCACAGUACGCGACACUUAUCAUGCCAGAAUGAAUUCUUCUUUCGAGGGAUGUGUGAUGAUGUAAUAAAUUCUGUAUCAGUGGUAUUGUUAGUACUGUUAAAAUACUCCACUAAGCACUGCUUGCUUGCAGGAUGUAGUAGUUAAUUGUACACUGGAAUAAAUUCUUCCGAUGAUUUGAUUUGCUUUUCACUUGUAAUUCUAAAUAUAAAAGCAUAUAUAACUGUGUAUAUAUAAAUGAAAAUAGACUGCAUCUGUCAAAUCAUUACUCAAGCUUCUGAGCAUCAUUCGCACUCUAAAGAUAUCUAGAAGAUUGCUCAAUUAUGUUCGGGGUUCAUUUUGGUAGCAUUACUAAAUAUUCUGAAUCACAAAUAUCUGCAGGUAUUAUGCUCUCCUUCCUCAGUUCUAAUUCCUUCUAUAUCCUGUGAUAUUUAUAUAUAUUUUGUAUCCUGAAUAAUAAAAAAUAGAAGUGUCAUAAAACGUGCCCUUGUUUAGGAGACUAUUUGAGUUCCCUGGCUCAGUUUGGCUCUGCAUGCUUGACUGUCUCCUCUCACUCCUCUGUGCAAAAUCACUUCAUGUGACUGUUGGCAGAUAUAUUUAUUUCAUUAUUUAUUUUUCUCUCACUUGUAGUUUUUUAGUUCUUUAACUGUGCUCUGUGCAGCACUUGUUCUUGAUCCCCAGGUGGAAAGUUCCCCCUGCAUUCUGGAUGUGGACAUGUUCCACUUAGUGGGGAGUCUGGUGCUGUCCUAUUCAGCAUUGCACUGCUUAGACUCCUCAGGGCUUAGUGCGGAUACUGCACACCUGCAUCUCUUCCACUUGGUCAUUGUUGCUCACCUGGUCCAGAUCCUCCUCACCUCUGUGCCAGGUUAGAGCAUAUUCUACUUGGAGCACGUACAACUUAACAGUAGAUGGUGAUCUGUGUUAUGUUGUCAUUUGUGUGUGUUUAUUAACCCUCGUUCUUACAAAUGAGUAAUAACGUGUUUGUCAGUAUGAAUGUUCUUUUGGGAUGUUUUUAUUGAGUGUGCUGUCAGGCACAGUUGUGUGGGAGUCAAUAAUGGGGCUGUCAGAGUAAUUCACUGCAGCCAAGAGCGUUAGAUUUAUGUAGGGAUUUAUUUUGGGGUUUUUUUGGGUUUGAACACAAUUUUUAAAAAGUGCUUAAAUGUAAUCCUAACAGGCUAACAGGUUUCUAUACAGGCUGCAGUACACAUGUUUUUUAUUUACUAUUUGUUUUUUUUAUACUGUUUCAGUAUUUAGUAGACUGUUUUGUGAAUAGCAAUGGUUUUGUGUCUGAGUUGUCAAGUUUUGAGUUUUGCCAAAACUUACUGCUUAUUAGAGAUGCCGAGCAAAGGUGCUUCAAAGUAUUGAGCAAAGGCUGUGAAUACUUAUAAACGUGCUUUUUUUUGUUUUUUUAUUUUUCAUAAAUUUCAUACUCAUUGAAAGAUUUCAAACAAACUUCUUUCAUGUUGUCAUUAUGGUGUAUUGUUUGUAGAAUUUUGAGG